rnacentral:rRNA from 1 species
UGAGCAACCUGCCUUUCANAGGGGGAUAACAGUUGGAAACGACUGCUAAUACCGCAUAACGCUGCGAUGGGGCAUCCCGAUGCAGCCAAAGGAGCAAUCCGCUGGAAGAUGGGCUCGCGGCCGAUUAGCUAGUUGGUGGGGCAACGGCCCACCAAGGCGACGAUCGGUAGCCGGACUGAGAGGUUGAUCGGCCACAUUGGGACUGAGACACGGCCCAGACUCCUACGGAAGGCAGCAG